rnacentral:rRNA from 1 species
CAAUAGCGUAUAUUUAAGUUGCUGCAGUUAAAAAGCUCGUAGUUGGAUUUCGGGUGGGAAUGGCCGGUCCGCCGUUUCGGUGUGCACUUGCUACGCCCACCUUGCUGCCGGGGACGUGCUCUUGAGUUCACGCUCGGGACACGGAGUCGGCGAGGUUACUUUGAGUAAAUUAGAGUGUUCAAAGCAGGCCUACGCUCUGAAUACAUUAGCAUGGAAUAACACGAUAGGACUCUGGCCUAUCUUGUUGGUCUGUAGGACCGGAGUAAUGAUUAAGAGGGACAGUCGGGGGCAUUCGUAUUUCAUUGUCAGAGGUGAAAUUCUUGGAUUUAUGAAAGACGAACUACUGCGAAAGCAUUUGCGAAGGAUGUUUUCAUUAA